rnacentral:rRNA from 1 species
AAUAGAUACCCGGGUAGUCCACGCCGUAAACGAUGAGUGCUAAGUGUUAGGGGGUUUCCGCCCCUUAGUGCUGCAGCUAACGCAUUAAGCACUCCGCCUGGGGAGUACGGUCGCAAGACUGAAACUCAAAGGAAUUGACGGGGGGCCCGCACAAGCGGUGGAGCAUGUGGUUUAAUUCGAAGCAACGCGAAGAACCUUACCAGGUCUUGACAUCUCAUUGACCGCUAUGGAGACAUAGCUUUCCCUUCGGGGACAGUGGUGACAGGUGGUGCAUGGUUGUCGUCAGCUCGUGUCGUGAGAUGUUGGGUUAAGUCCCGCAACGAGCGCAACCCUUGUUCUUAGUUGCCAUCAUUUAGUUGGGCACUCUAAGGAGACUGCCGGUGACAAACCGGAGGAAGGUGGGGAUGACGUCAAAUCAUCAUGCCCCUUAUGACCUGGGCUACACACGUGCUACAAUGGACGGUACAAACGGUUGCCAACCCGCGAGGGGGAGCUAAUCCGAUAAAACCGUUCUCAGUUCGGAUUGUAGGCUGCAACUCGCCUAC